rnacentral:rRNA from 1 species
UACGGAGGGUGCAAGCGUUAUCCGGAUUCACUGGGUUUAAAGGGUGCGUAGGUGGGCAGGUAAGUCAGUGGUGAAAUCUCCGGGCUUAACUCGGAAACUGCCAUUGAUACUAUCUGUCUUGAAUACCGUGGAGGUUAGCGGAAUAUGUCAUGUAGCGGUGAAAUGCUUAGAUAUGACAUAGAACACCAAUUGCGAAGGCAGCUGGCUACACGAAUAUUGACACUGAUGCACGAAAGCGUGGGGAGCAAACAGGGA